rnacentral:rRNA from 1 species
CGCGGCCUAUCAGCUUGUUGGUGGGGUAAUGGCCUACCAAGGCUUCGACGGGUAGCCGGCCUGAGAGGGUGACCGGCCACACUGGGACUGAGACACGGCCCAGACUCCUACGGGAGGCAGCAGUGGGGAAUAUUGCGCAAUGGACGAAAGUCUGACGCAGCAACGCCGCGUGAGGGAUGAAGUACAUCGAGAUGUAAACCUCUUUCAGCAGGGACGAAGCUAACGUGACGGUACCUGCAGAAGAGGCACCGGCUAACUACGUGCCAGCAGCCGCGGUAAUACGUAGGGGGCGAGCGUUGUCCGGAUUCAUUGGGCGUAAAGAGCUCGUAGGCGGCUCAGUAAGUCGGCCGUGAAAGCCCGGAGCUCAACUCCGGGACGCCGGUCGAUACUGCUGUGGCUAGGGUCCGGUAGAGGAGAGUGGAAUUCCCGGUGUAGCGGUGAAAUGCGCAGAUAUCGGGAGGAACACCAGUAGCGAAGGCGGCUCUCUGGGCCGGUACCGACGCUGAGGAGCGAAAGCUAGGGGAGCAAACAGGAUUAGAUACCCUGGUAGUCCUAGCCGUAAACGUUGGGCACUAGGUGUGGCGGAUUCAUUGACAUCUGCCGUGCCGGCGCUAACGCAUUAAGUGCCCCGCCUGGGGAGUACGG